CUCAGGAUGAACGCUGGCGGUAUGCUUAACACAUGCAAGUCGAACGAAACCUUUCGGGGUUUAGUGGCGGACGGGUGAGUAACGCGUGAGAAUCUGGCUUCAGGUCUGGGACAACCACUGGAAACGGUGGCUAAUACCGGAUGUGCCGAGAGGUGAAAGGUUAACUGCCUGAAGAUGAGCUCGCGUCUGAUUAGCUAGUUGGUAGAGUAAAAGCCUACCAAGGCGACGAUCAGUAGCUGGUCUGAGAGGACGAUCAGCCACACUGGGACUGAGACACGGCCCAGACUCCUACGGGAGGCAGCAGUGGGGAAUUUUCCGCAAUGGGCGAAAGCCUGACGGAGCAAUACCGCGUGAGGGAGGAAGGCUCUUGGGUCGUAAACCUCUUUUCUCAGGGAAGAACACAAUGACGGUACCUGAGGAAUAAGCAUCGGCUAACUCCGUGCCAGCAGCCGCGGUAAUACGGAGGAUGCAAGCGUUAUCCGGAAUGAUUGGGCGUAAAGCGUCCGCAGGUGGCAAUGUAAGUCUGCUGUUAAAGAGUCUAGCUCAACUAGAUAAGAGCAGUGGAAACUACAUAGCUAGAGUACGUUCGGGGCAGAGGGAAUUCCUGGUGUAGCGGUGAAAUGCGUAGAGAUCAGGAAGAACACCAGUGGCGAAGGCGCUCUGCUAGGCCGUAACUGACACUGAGGGACGAAAGCUAGGGGAGCGAAUGGGAUUAGAUACCCCAGUAGUCCUAGCCGUAAACGAUGGAUACUAGGCGUGGCUUGUAUCGACCCGAGCCGUGCCGUAGCUAACGCGUUAAGUAUCCCGCCUGGGGAGUACGCCGGCAACGGUGAAACUCAAAGGAAUUGACGGGGGCCCGCACAAGCGGUGGAGUAUGUGGUUUAAUUCGAUGCAACGCGAAGAACCUUACCAAGGCUUGACAUGUCGCGAAUCCUGGUGAAAGCUGGGAGUGCCUUCGGGAGCGCGAACACAGGUGGUGCAUGGCUGUCGUCAGCUCGUGUCGUGAGAUGUUGGGUUAAGUCCCGCAACGAGCGCAACCCUCGUUUUUAGUUGCCAGCAUUAAGUUGGGCACUCUAGAGAGACUGCCGGUGACAAACCGGAGGAAGGUGGGGAUGACGUCAAGUCAGCAUGCCCCUUACGCCUUGGGCUACACACGUACUACAAUGCUCCGGACAGAGGGCAGCAAGCGCGCGAGUGCAAGCAAAUCCCGGAAACCGGAGCUCAGUUCAGAUCGCAGGCUGCAACUCGCCUGCGUGAAGGAGGAAUCGCUAGUAAUUGCAGGUCAGCAUACUGCAGUGAAUUCGUUCCCGGGCCUUGUACACACCGCCCGUCACACCAUGGAAGCUGGUAGUGCCCGAAGUCAUUACUCCAACCUGCAAAGGAGGAGGAUGCCUAAGGCAGGACUGGUGACUGGGGUGAAGUCGUAACAAGGUAGCCGUACCGGAA
rnacentral:rRNA from 1 species